UUCAAGCCCACAUUGCAUUGCUGGAGUUCAGACUAGGAGGUAGAGGAGUGGGGAAAGAAGAGAUCAUGGAGAGUUUCAGACAGCAAAGAAAACAUCACAUUUUCUCAAAUGUAAGAACUAAAACAAGCAAGCAAGGAGAUGUCAACUUAGUAAAGGAAACCAGGGUGAGGCCAGCAGGGGUCCGACCACCACCUUUGGAGUCUUGCAGGGCUCCUCCUCAAAUGGGAGAUGAAGGGUAUAUCACACAUGAAAUA
rnacentral:lncRNA from 1 species